GCGGCUAAAGCGCUGUGUUCAGCUCAACCUCUCGUUGUCCAGCUCACUCCAAAAACAUUUUAGGUAAGAUACAACGAGUCAAACAAUAAAUAAUAAACUAGCGAAUGCCGCACAUCGGCGUGAGGAUAAAAAAAACGUUUUCUUAAGUUUCAAAUCGACACGAAAGGUAAACAAAUAGUAAGAGUUUAAUGAAAAUGUUUCGGUCUGUCCUGCUUCGCUCCUCCCAUUCCAACAGCGGCACCUUCUUCUUUAAAACCGAGUUUCAUUCGCGCUCGAGACGCGGGAUUUCAAUCUGUCCCGCUCACGCGACCAGCGCGCGCUUAUUCCAUAUCUCCUGUCAGAGAGACUCUCUCGUGAUCCAGCAAAUGAAACCUAACCCUGCGCCGAAAAUAAGCUUUCAGAUACGGGACAUGCAGUAGUAUGCCACUGUGAUGGAGUGAUUACAGAGGCAGGCAAGACACAACAGGCACACAUGGGUGUGUGAAGAAAGUGAGAGCGAUUUGGGGUCUUGAUGCAAUAAUCUCACAUAAUAUUUCUAAGUACAAAGGGAGCACAGUUUCUUUUGCAGUGACAAACAUCAUGGAUACAGACUGAAAGAGCCACUCUACCUUCUGGUCUGUACUGGGCAAUAAUGGUCACCGUCUGUCCAGCCCUCUUCAGUGCAGCAGCAGCCUGCUCAUGGGUAGCAUUGCGCAGGUUUACACCAUUCACCUGGGACAAUACCAUGCUCUCCGCUCAGGUCGGCUGGCCCACCUGCCAAGAUGAAAGACACGAAGAUGCCCUCUCCGUCCUCCCCGCCCACAAUGUUGAAUCCCAAACCUGUGGAACCCUUGUGCAGCAGGAUCUUCCGCGGCUCCCUGCCAAGC